CUAUCCUCGCAGAGGAUAAGCCUCCCUGACUCUACAGAAGCAAAGUCCAGAGAUGUCCAGAGAUGGGAGUGGGGGAGAGAGAGCCUCCUUGUGAUGUCACCUGAGCUCCUGGGUCCAGCUUGUUUCAUGAGCUGAGAGUUGCUGAAUUCCCAAGUGCUCUCCAUUCCUCUGAUGCUCCUGGACAGCCAAGGUGCCGACAAGCUUUGGCCAGUAGGCUGCUUUCUGGCAUCCAAGGUCACCUCAUUAUGGCACUGUGCGAAGACAGCACCCCAAAGGGGCCAUCGAUUUGGAACAUCUGAUCGGCUUUCUGAGUCAGAUCCACUAGCUCGUAAAAUCCAAUAAAUGUCAAAGAUAUGUCAGGCCCAUUAACCUCUGGAGGUCUAUUAAAAGACUCUGCUUCUGCU